AUUGAACGCUGGCGGCAGGCUUAACACAUGCAAGUCGAGCGAGCGGCGGACGGGUGAGUAAUGUCUGGGAAACUGCCUGAUGGAGGGGGAUAACUACUCGAAAGAGUGGCUAAUACCGCAUACUAUUGGAGCGGCCGAUAUCGGAUUAGCUAGUUGGUGGGGUAAAGGCUCACCAAGGCAACGAUCCGUAGCUGGUCUGAGAGGAUGACCAGCCACACUGGAACUGAGACACGGUCCAGACUCCUACGGGGGGCAGCAGUGGGGAAUAUUGCACAAUGGGCGCAAGCCUGAUGCAGCCAUGCCGCGUGUGUGAAGAAGGCCUUCGGGUUGUAAAGCACUUUCAGCGAGGAGGCGUUACUCGCAGAAGAAGCACCGGCUAACUCCGUGCCAGCAGCCGCGGUAAUAC
rnacentral:rRNA from 1 species